CAGAGGGCAUGCAGGUGCGCCGGGUUCAUGAGCUCAGCAGUGCAACAGGAAACAUGGACUCUGGGAGGAAACCCCACACCUGGGUGAAAGCUCCUUUGUAUCAGAUUCUACUUUUCAGAAAACAGGGAAUACAUUAAAGCUGAAAAUUAAAAAAAAAUUGGGCAGCGGGGAAGACAGAAAAUACCCCGAGUAAGCUAAAAAGUGCGAGUCAAAUCUUACAUGUGUACAUGUGCUCCUGCUUCACAUAUAACCACCGAAAUUACUGAGUUUUCCUGCAGUAAUUGGAGCUCCUUGGCGGUUGUUUAUCUCCCUCACGAAUGUCCCGGGACGGAUUAUCCAGGUUCAGCUGCUAGAAAAUCAACCAACCAAUCCUUGGGGCAGGACAUGAAAGGAACAACAUACCCUCAUGGCUGGAAGAAACCAGAGUCAGGAAAUAAAAGGCAGUGAGAGGAAAUGAACAUUCUCUAUUGCCCUCUGCUGCACGUGCCUUCAGGAGGGGCUGGAAGGACUGUCUCUGAGAUGUGGCUGCAUUUGGAUCCCAUGAUUUAUCAGUUGGAAGUACACAGGAAACAACAAAGCUUUCAGCCCCAAGACAUGAAUCCCCAAGAAUCUCUGUCACAAGUGUGUAAAUGUGUCCAACCGCACGGUGUCUUCGGGAGCCCAGCGCGCUGCUCUGCCCUGUCCUGGUGCGGCUCUGACCGGGGCUCUUCGGGCAGUGCAGGAUGCAGCCCAUGGAAAGGAAGACUACAUAGCAGCACUGAGGUGAGCUGGAACAAAGGGAAUUUGGCUCGUGACUCUCUACGGAGCCCUUCUGUGUGGCAUUGGGUCAGGACUGAGUUUUGAAGAUGCCUGCUGGGAUAUCGCUGCAUCCCUAACAACUGAGACCUGAAAUAUAAAACCUCUAAUCUCUUUCAUCGCCUGAGCAGGGUUUAAAACUCCACUCUGGUUGCUCCUCUUCUUUUGUUUUCCAGUCUUUUUCUUGCACUAUUUUCUUGCACAGGAACUAACAGUGGCUGUAACCAUGGUCCUGGUCACAGUCUGGAAUCUUUCCUACUCCCUUUAAACUAUUAAAUUUAAGUAUACGCUCAUGGGCACUGAGGAGGGCUUCAGCAGUAGUUGUGGACACGUUACUGAAGCCAAGGGACAGCCAGGGCAGUAGCGCAUGUCAGAGUGAUUUCAGUCUUGUAUCACAUUUCCAAUAAUAAAACACUAAAAAUCACAACA
rnacentral:lncRNA from 1 species